CGGAGCGUGGCGUAGUUGGUAGCGCACUCGGAUGGGGUCCGAGAGGUCGCCGGUUCGAGCCCGGCCGCUCCGACUA
rnacentral:tRNA from 4 species